UACGAAGGGGGCUAGCGUUGCUCGGAAUCACUGGGCGUAAAGCGCACGUAGGCGGACUCUUAAGUCAGGGGUGAAAUCCUGGAGCUCAACUCCAGAACUGCCUUUGAUACUGGGAGUCUUGAGUUCGGGAGAGGUGAGUGGAACUGCGAGUGUAGAGGUGAAAUUCGUAGAUAUUCGCAAGAACACCAGUGGCGAAGGCGGCUCACUGGCCCGAUACUGACGCUGAGGUACGAAAGCGUGGGGAGCAAACAGG
rnacentral:rRNA from 1 species